AUUGGGGGCUUGAGUGCAACGUGAAAAGCUGUGUGAAACAGUUCGUGGAGUUUGUGGAGCUGUUCGCUAGCAUUGUACUCUGUGUUCCGUCGAUUUACAAGUCGUUUGAAAAUUGGUAGCUGAAUUACUGCCACUGCUGAGCGAUAGCAGCGUGGAAACUAAGCCCAAUCCGAGACGAGCCAGCCAGUUAACAAACCAAUAACAGAGACAGACAUUUCGCUAACCGAACCUAAUAAAACGCAUAUUAACAUAUUAUUUGAACCGCGUUAUUCAAACCGCCGUCCGCAUAGAAAUU